GGUAUGGCAGAUAAAUGCGCUGGAUUUAAGCUCCAGAGAUGAGAUAUUUUUACUCUUCC
rnacentral:tRNA from 1 species